rnacentral:lncRNA from 1 species
GGUUCUUAAAACUGAAGCCCUAUUUAAAGGGCUUCCCGUCCUCUUCAAAAUGCAGCCCGCGGCCCUGUGCAAGGAAGCUUGGUUUCAUCUUCCACAAGCGUGUUAGCCUCAUUUGCUGAGCCCGAGGUCGGAGGGAAAGAAAACGAGCUUUAAACGACUUCAGUGGAUUUCGAGAGCCGCGUGUUUAGUUGGGCAGCCGGGGUGAGUGGCAGCAUUUGCAAAACCCCAGGAGAUCCGCCUCCACGGGGAAGAAGGCCCGCGCGCCUGAUGCCAGAAACUUACAACGUCUGCUGGAAGCGGGAUACCAGAAGCAAAAUAGAAUCAGAAGAGAUACCCAUGGGUGGGAAGAUCAGCUAUCAAACAGUGGAUCUCAGACUAUGAGAAACACAGAACAAGUCACAGCCCCGCUGGGCUCUGCAAUGGCAAACCACUUUGUAGAAGGAUCCUCCACGCUGCUCUGGGAUUAGAAGAUUCUCCCAGCUGCUGCAAUCUCAAGGACCCUUCUACAGCUGCUACUGGGGAUGCGACCUUCCUUAGUGGCUCUCUGAGACCACCGGUCAUCCCUGCCACUAUCCAUGGAGAUUUUUCCCGUAACAGUCAACCAACUGAAGGUCAUGGGGCAGAGCUACAUCCGUGGAGUCAUACAGUCAGGUCGCACCGGAAACGUGUAGAAAGUCUUCGGCCAUCCCUGACAGCCACUCUCCUUUCUCUAAAUAGGCUAUAGAAGAUGUUACAGGGAUGCCAGAUUCUGAAGUUAGAUUACUCGGUUCUGGCCAAUGCUCUGGCAUUUGCUAAUAAUAUGAUUUUAAUUACUAUAUACCUCAGCAUCCGCAAGUAUAAAAGGGAGAAACCGGUAAGGUUUACUUCAAAGCACUGAGGUGAAGAUUUAAUAGAAUAAUAUUGAAAAUGGCCUUAGAAGGGGCUUAAAUUAAUAUUCUGCUUAGCAUUAUAAGUAUGAUAUAACUCAAUAAAUUUUAACUAUUAUAGCCUGCUCAUCAGUCUACUUUUCAUAUAUAUAUAUAAUUGGUAUAUAUUCAUGAUGUGAUCUACUUUCUAAAUCCAAACUUGGUAAACCUAUUGCCCUCCUCAAUUCUAGGACUCUGGUUC